CUGAAUUUUAACAAUGUUCCAAAAGGAGAAAUAAGGUAUAGCAUCUCACUACAAAUCCUCCAUCUCAAAACAUGGGGCCUGGAGUGGCCCCCCAAGACCCUACCCCUAAAACAAACUGGCUGUGGAUAUGGUGACAGAUUAGAAAGUUAAACCCUUCACCUCCAUGAAAGAAUCUGGAAUGGAGCAAACCCAUCAUUUACCUAAGAAGGCAGAAGGUGAGACAGUCCCAUUGCUGCGUGACACCAUGACACUGAUGCCUGUCUCUAUGAAGGGCACAGAGAAGUCGACCACCUCCGAUCGUUCCUCAUUGAUGAUGGCUACAGAGGAGUUUGAUGACUUGCCCAAGCUCCCACGGCUGAACACCUGAAUAGCUGGGAAUUUCUCCUCAGAAGGAAAGUCUACCUUACAAACCUGUGGUACCUUCGAGUGGACUUGGCUCAUAAGGCUUCCCGUAGGAAAAUUCUAGGGAACUAAUCUGUAAUGCUUUUAGACUUCAAAGUCUUCCUUCUGCUAACAGAUUCCUCCAUUACUGCCAGUGAAAUUGGCACCAAUUAGCACCCUGACAAGGCCACACAUUAAAAAGACCACAGAGACUGUGUUCCUCUCUGAAAGCCCCCACGUUUGUCCCCCCACCAUGAACAGUUGAUGUGAGCAGAAGGGCGAAUGUGUCAUUGUGAAGAAGGGAGAGGGGACCAGGGCAGGGUAUUGAGGCUGCUGCAGUCCUUGCAUAGAUUAGCAAAGGACAUCGGUCUCCUCGGGCUGCCUCUCUUGUCUGCAUAGAAAGUCAUUUUUUAAGAUUCUGGAGCAAAAACACUUAUUAGAGCCUCUUUAGGCGUCAAAGGUUAUUUUUCAAAAAUCAAAGCAUUUUUGUUUUUUGCUUGAGAUGACAUCUGGAUGUAACAUGAAACACUUGCUGCUUAUUUUAAGCCUUCAUCUGACUUUUAAAAUGUGAAACUUAAAGCUACAUGCUAUUUCCCUGAGCAAGCUAAAGGAAGAGGCAGAGUCUCUGCAAGGCAGCCUAAAUUCUGCAUCCCAUUCUGUCCUGCAGCCCCGGGGCAGGCCUCAGACUCUGAAUAGAGCAGAAAUCCGAGGACAGGAGGACACCCUCACUUCCCCACCCCCAAAGCUAUACAUCUUAACUCAACUCUGAGGAUUUUUAAUGUUUGAGUAUAUGAUAAUACUUCAUUUUGCUCAAUCUUUGUUUUUCUCUAUUUACCUAUCUUUAAUUUGUUUUCUGCUACUAUAAAAAAAAACACACAGACUGGGUAAUUUAUUUUUUUUUAAAUGUAUCCCUCACACUUCUAGAGGCUGGGAAGUCCAAUAUAAAGGUGCUGGCAUCUGGCAAGGGCCUUCUUGCUGCAUCAUCCCACGCAGAAGGCAGAAGGGCAGGAGAGUAUGUGUGAGAGAGAGAGCAGGAGAGAGCCAAGCUCACUUUUAUAACAAAUUCACUCUCUCAAUAACCAACCCACUACUUUGAUAAUGUCAUUCAUUCACUCAUGAGGGCAGAGCCUCAGGACCUAAUUGCCUCUAAAAGGUCCCACCUCUCAACAACGUUGCAUUGAAGAUUAAGUUUCCAACUUAAUGAACUUUGGGGGACACAUUCAAACUACAGCACUACCUCUCCCCCUCAUUUCUUUGUAACCAAGUGAACAUUCUAACACUGUAUGGCCCUGCAUUAUCUGUAUCCGUUCAAAAUACAUCUACAUAUAUACAAAGAAGGGGAUUUGUGUGACUUGGUAUGUAUGCGUGUUUCCUAAAUCAAAUCAUAAUACACACAUUUCUCUACCACUUACUUUUCCCACUUCAGUGUGGAAUUUCUUCCAACAGUAGAUCUAACUUCUUUUAAGAACUGCAUAGUAGCCUAUAAUAAUGAAUGUGCCUUUAUUUACUCAAGCAUAGCCCUAUUGAUAUUUAUGAUAUUUCCAAAAAAUUAACCAGAAGACAUAAUACAUAUCUUGGUAUUUCUAAGGCAUCAAUUCCCAGAAAUGAAAAGGCGGAACAAAAGGAUAUGUAUGUUUUUAAAUGUUCUCAAUGGUGCCAGAAUACAACAGUUUGCAACAAUUGAAAUUCCUAUCAGCAAAGCACAAGAGCGCAUCCUGCUCACACUCUCACCAGCACUAAGUUUUUAUCACUACUAAAUGCUUGCCAAUCUGAGGAAUGAAACACAAUAUCUUCCUGCUCUAAUUUUCAUCUCCUUGCCUCACAGUGAGCGCAAGCACCUUUCCACAUCUCUUAGCCAUUUAAAUUUUCCUCUUUUACCAUCUAGUCACAUCUUUUAUCCAUUUUCUAUUGAGUUGUUUGUCUUUCUUAUCCAUUCAUAGAGAAGAGCUCCUGGUGUAGUAUGAUAGUAACCCUUCAUCUCUCAGGUAUGCUUGAAAUAUUGUUCCCACUCUGAGAUUUGUCUUCUGACUGGUCUUUUUUUCUGUGCACAAAAUUUUACUGUUUUUCUUUUGCAGUAGAACAUAAUAUUCUUCUUAAAUGGAGGGUUGGUUUCCUACCUAACUUGUAAAACAAUCUACCCCAUUCCCAAAGUGUUCUUCUUUGGUAUUAGUAUACUUUUGCAUGUAGCUUUUCCUAUACUACAUGUGACAGAGAUGCCGUUUUGCUUUCUGUUGUUGCACAUGACCUUCCCCUGCCUGCAGGUCUGUCCCCUUGCCAUGUUUCAGGAAUGUUCUGCAUUCUCCUUGGCCCUUCUCAGACCUCUCCACUGCCAUGAUACUGUCCCUGAUCACCCCAGCCCAGAGAAAGAGCUUUCUUAUUUGAUCUCCUGUAAUAAUUUUGUGGGUCAACCUCUCCCUUUGGCUAUCAUAUUAAAAUGUUAGCUGUAUUUCAAAAUUCAUAUCUCUGAACUGGUCCUUAAGCCCUUCGAGGGCAGGGACUAUAUUAGAUUGCCUUUUUUUUGUCCCUUGUACUGGCAUGAAUAACAACUAUGUUCUCAGUAAAUUAUUGACUGAUGUCACUGCACACCCUCCACAAAGCCUCCACUAGAUCUCCCUCCAGUGUUCUUUCUUCCAUGAAAAGGAUGUAAGAUGUAAAGCCUGCUUCAUUCUGUUUCUCUUCAGCCUUCCUGAUUAUAAAGUUACCCUGGACAGACUCAGUUCUAUGUGAAUGGCUCUAAGUGCAAUGGCACAAUCUGCUGCAGUAUCUAAAAAGGCCACUGGCAUGGCUUUGAUGCUUCUUCUCCUAAUUAUUUGCAUAUUCAGUGCCAUCUAGGUUUAGAAAUCUAGUUUUUGAAAAGUGUGCUUGGAAAUAAUUUCCAUAUUUAAAUUUGAUCCAUGACUGCCUUUGGCCUAUGACUGCCUCUUCACUUACUAAGCUGGGGACCGGUGUCUCUGGGUACACACGCUGAAGGGAAGCCCAUCCAGCCAAUCCUGUCUGGCACCUGCAUGGCUCUCCCAGGGACACUGAGACAUCCAUUGCCAUCUCGGGCCUCAGAUGCUAUCCCUGGCUGAGCCCUGCCUCUCCAAGAGAGCCCAGGCCCCCUCAGCGCUGUGUGUACCCAUUGUUGCUGCUAGGCACUGCCCUCUGAGUGACUCUUCUUCGCUGCUUAUCCUCCUUCCAUCUUUCCUACUCUGGAGAGUGAAGGAAUGGGAAAAUGGGGGAGGUAGAGCAGACUCACCUGCCAGGAAUAGAAGUUGUUGAUUCUCUCAGCACCAGAGAGCUGUUAUGGUCAUUUCAGAUAACACCACGGGUGGAGAUGUGAUCAUAUUAGAGUAAUUAGAGCCAUUAGGGACCAGGCUGAGGGCCAGGCACUUCUUGUGGAGGUCUAUCAAUUCAAUGCCACUAAAAAAGGUGGAUAUUAUUAAUUGCCUACAAUAUAGACCAAAAAACCCAAGGCUCAUUGACGGACCAGAAUUUUGUCUCUGAUUUGUUUGACUCUAGCAGCUCAUAUUUUUUUCACCACGCUAUGUUACCAAGAGAAUAUUUAUGACCUCUAUAUUCCUUGCAAACUUACUGUGAUCUAAGAGAGUAGAAGAGUCUGUUUCAGCUCACCCUAGUCUCCCAAGAUCCCUGAUGGUUGUGUCUAAAGGAUUCAUGGCAAGUGGCGACCGAAGUUCACAAUGGGGGCCAGAUAGGCAGAAUGGUGGCUGGUGGCAGUGGGAGGCAGGGUACUGACAAGCUGUGUGACCUUGCAUGAAUUAUUUAAUCUCUCUGUGCCGGGCUCAUUAGUUUUCUGCAAGUAUUUGCUAUUUUUUCCUCCUCCUUCUCAUUAUAACUAUUACUACUACAAUUGAAAACAUCAGUGCAGCUCCUUAAUGUGACUUCCUCCCAGAAACAUAAUUUUUUGUGCAAGUGGCUUGCAAUUGUCAAGGGGGAAAUACUGAACAAAUUCUACUUCCCAAGCUUUUAACUCAAUUUUUUCCAAACAUCAGGGCGAACUCUAUGAGGUUCUUUUGGUUUCAUUCAUUAUUUUCAUUCACGUGCAAAUAAAAACAGAAAUCACAGGAAUAAAAAUGCCAGUACCCUUCUGAAUUUACCCAAGGUCUUGAAUCCAAAGAGUCCCAUUGAGCGAGGUGGUGCCUCGUCAUAAACCCCUCCCUGGGACAAGAUGCCAUUUUAGAAAAGGGCAUUAAUUCUUUUAGGUCAGAGAAUUUUGUAAACAGUUUGCUAAACAGGCUCAAAUAGGUGGAAAGAUUCAACAGGAUUUCCUGAAGUAUCUAAUGCCUCUUGGCUCAAGGGCUCAAAAACUCCCAAGCCACAACUCUCCAUCCUUGGGAAGCCAUAAUCCUCAGAGUCCUAUUCUUAGACUUAUAGGAGCUCAAUCAGUGAGAACCGAGCUCUACCUUCUCCUUUGAUGUGCCUUCCUCCAAUGAAGACCUGUCUUCUGGAACAACAAAACUGGGUCCCAAACCAUCUUCUGGGACAUGCAGGACACAGUGAGGAACCACUCAAACAGACCACUCCCUCUAAAUCAACUUCUUCCUGGACAUGUGUGCACCAUGCCCAAGGCCUUGGCUUGCUCCAGAACACAGCUCAGCAGCGAUGCUGAACUGCUGACUGAAAAUGAUGGGUGGGUUCUAGGGAUGCUGUUAUAAUCUGCUUUUGGGAACUGGGCCACAGGCUGCAAUCACUGAUACUGCUUGUCAUCAGGUUACCUUGUCAUUACUCUCUACCUUUAUUCUCAAAUGACAGUUGUGAGGGUAGAGCAAAAGUGUGUAAUGUUGGACAAUUCUGAACUGUGACUCUCUGGAUUUGAGCACUGACUUGGCAAGGUCUUCAUUAGUACUCAGGCAAAUAUGUAUGUAUGUGUAUGUGAACUCAUUCAUUCACCCUACUUUAUUCUAAUUUGUCAUAUUAGUAAGGAACAUAGACUUUGAAGUCAGAAAUGCCCAAUUUGAAUCCUUGCUUUUCCAUCAUUGGUUGCAUGUGAUUCUGGAUGAGUUCCUUAAUCUUUUUAACCCUGUGUUGUAGAUGGCUACUGUUGAGCUACCAACCAGCCAUCCCUACCUCUCCUUCUGACUCACUCUCCCCCCCUCCCCCCCACCCUCCCCCCUCCCCCCUCACCAUAGCUCUUUAUCUCCUCCUCUUGUGAACUGCCCCUUCCUCAACUCCACCCAUGUGAUCCUGUGGAGGUUGCCAUUUUAUUCCACCUCCUGGUCUACUCACUGACCCAGCCAUAGCUGAGAGGUUGAAGGGUGGGGCACCUGACUGGCUGGGUCGAAUCCUCGGGAUUUUUGGUAGGACCCAGGAGAAUGUUAAGUCAGUCUCAAUCUAGUGGCAUAAGCUAUAAUAUGUAAAAUUCAGAAGCCCUGGGCAGCCAUGUUUUGUAGCCUAUGGAGAAACUGACCUAUGGAAGGAGAGAAGAAUGAAGGCAGAAGCUACUGAAAAGUAAAUACAAGUGAGAGUAUGAGCAAGAUAUAUGACAGCAUCAGAGUCCCGGUUUAUGGCUAUUCUGGGGGCUCAACCACAUUCCCAUUGUGAGUUCUGUUGAGAUGAUCCAGUAUCCUAUCAUACAGUUGUCUUUUGCUUAAGCUGGUUCAAGUUGGGUGUCUAUUCUUUAUAAUCAAAACAGUUCUCAUAAUGUACUGUGUAUUUCAUUCAUAAAUGGCAAUAUAACUAUCUUUGUGGGGUUCUGAUGAAAAUUAAAUAAAAUAAUGUACAUAAAGUGCUUUGCAAAGUGCCUGGAGCAUGGUGAGCCCUGAGUAAAUGACAGUGGUUGUGGUGGCAGUAGUGACAUUUAUCAUCGCCAAUUUCUGUCAACAUCUCAGAAGCCAAGAAGUAAGUUGGGUUGCAAGUGACAGGCAGAUUCCUCAGCCAUUUCCAAACAAGUGUCUCUCCAAAGGAAGAAGCAGCAGGG
rnacentral:lncRNA from 1 species